ensembl:lncRNA
AUUCUUAUAAGAAACAAAAGUCAGUAUUCAAACUUUUAGCAUAUAAAAACAGAGCUUUCCUUUUGGUAUUGUCCCUUAGUCCUCGAGCAUUAAAAGAAAUAGAAUCAGAAUCAGAAAGGGUUUUAUUGCCACAUGUUGAGCAGGUUUACAACAUUAGGAAAUUGCUGCGGUACUUAGUGCAAACAUACUGUCAUAUAAUGCUUAAAUAGACAUAAAAAUAAGAAUUAAAAGUGCUAAGUAGAUAGAUAUAUACAUGAAUGCAGGUGGUGAUCAGUGCCAAACAUGGGAUGAUGCAGUGAACGCAGUGUAGGGUCAUGUGUUAGUGGUGGGAACAGUCAUAUGGCUAUUGUUCAUGAGUCCAACAGCAGAGGGGAAGAAACUGUUCUUAUGGCGAGAGGUUCUGGUGCGAAUGGACCGGAGCCUCCUGCCUGAGGGGAGCAGGUCAAACAGACUGUGUCCAGGGUGAGAAGGGUCAGCUGUGAUCCGAGCUGCACGCCCCAGUGUCCUGGAGGUGUACAGGUCCUGCAGAGAUGGGAGUCUGCAGCCAAUCACCUUCUCAGCAGAGCGCACAACACGCUGCAGUCUCUGUUUGUCCCUGAUAGUGGCUCCAGCGUACCACACGGUGAUGGAGGAGGUGAGGAUGGACUCGAAAUUUUGAAAAGUAAAUUAACUUUUUACCUUGAGAAGAGUGUGUAAGCUUCAGAGAGAGCAGAACUACUCUGUCUAAAAAAGUGCUUCACAAAACAUUUUAGCAGCAACAGCAUACUAUAAGUCUUCAGAACAAUAGGGAAACCGAGACCUUGAGAUAUCCGGUCGUUAAGUCUGACGUCACUAGCCGUGUCUGGGCCUAAACUCCGCUGCAGGUCCAUAUAUCAAACGAUCACUGUGGCAUUACUGAGAGUUGAAAAACUGUCUAAAGUCUUUCAUCUUUAAUAAAAUGAUCAGCGUUCUUCUCUACCAGGUGUAACAAUUGAGUUUAACAUCCAGACAUCCAUGAAAACGGAAUUUAUGACAUUUAACGGAGUUAGAAGUUAGCAGGAAGUUAGCUCGCUAGCUUCUAUCUAAAUACAAUAUAGCAUGUCCUGAGCGGGGUUUUGGAAACAAAUUAAAACGUACAGCUCUGUUAUCACUUCCAGCAUAAAUGAAGACAGAAAACUAAACAGCAGUGACGUUUGUAGGGUUACUGAAGUUUCGUGACCGCUAGCGACACAGCUGUGUUAGCAUAAUAUAAACAAGCUAACUUUUUUUCCACUGGACAAAAGUUAACGUGAGUGUUCUCGGUGGUCAGGAACAAAUGUAAUCGCAUGGCAGGAUGCUGUAAACGGACCAAACUUCAGCCAGGAGAACAACUGAGAUAAUCCAUCCACAAUACGAGGUUAGUCAUACUGCUGCAUGGGCUGGGCUGUAGUUACAUCCUAAGGUUUUAAAAACUGAGCUUAAAUAAAUGAUUAGCGGUAAUAAAAGCCGAGGGAGGUCAACGGUGAUCACUGACUGUUUUAGGAGCUUUUUGAGAUUAAAUUUUAGAAAAUACAAAACAUUAAACACGCUAACAACACAAAAGCCAUAUUAAACGCAGACUACUUUAGGCCCGGAAGUAGGAUUCGUCACGUCAUCACUUAACGACCGGAUAUCCACAACAGGACUGGAAGAGAUUUCAGUGAAUUUCUUUACUGUUCACGAAAGCACGGGCUCCCACGAAGUAGUCAGACCGCUUCGCCGCCUUCCAGAUGAUGUCUCGAAAGUGUCUCAUGGUAAAUUGCAAGAUUAUGGCGCGGUGCAGUGGCGCAGAAGAGGACUCACGUCGUUGACCGAUCCUGUGGACUGAAUCAAGUACCUCCGGGAACUUAUCACGGUGGUCAGGAUCCAUGUUUUGGCAGAUUUCAAUAACCUUACUGCGUACGUUUUCUCCUUCUUCUUCAGGUAGCCCGUGAAGUCGCAGGUUCCAUUUUUGUUUAUACCGAGACAACUCCAGCACUUUGUUUUCCAGUGUUUGAAUUUUCUCUUCUGCUUUAUCCACCCUUACUUCAGUACGAGACACUUUUCCUUUUAGCUCCCUGAGAUCUUCUGAGAUAAAGUUAAUAGUAACCUUCAGGUCGCUAAUACUCUUCUCGAUGUUAGCUCCUUGCUCUUCGAUAGCCAUCUUGAGCGUCGUAAUAAUGCUUUCCGCCGUGUCAGUUUCCAUCACUCUUUUCUUACCAGAAGGUUUUAACGGGGAGGAAGUAGGAGUAAUAAGAGCUCUCUUAUUUGAGCCCAGGGUUUUUGCCAUCACAUACAGCUAGCAGUGUGCACCUUAGAGUUCGCUUUGCUGCUUUUAAAGGAAUUUUAAGACAGAGUGAGUUCUGUAGCAAACCGUUCACAGCGCCGCCAUCUUGGCCCCCCGAGGGGGUGAGUGCGCUCUUUGAUCCUUUGAUCUUCUCAAAGGCCCUUUGAGACGUCACGGUCGACGUCGCAUUCUCUGCCACACCGAGUCCUUAAAUAGGGGCGCUCCUUUAACAGUUUACAUUGGGGCAUUUUCAGAAACAAGCAUUUGUUUUAGACAAAGCUAACUUUUGCAUUUAAAUAAUGGAAUUAGACAAUAAUGAUGUGGAAUCAUUGAAACUGGCACUGUCUCAGCUUCGCGAACACUUAGUGCAAAGUUCUGAGCACAACAGUUUAAUAGCUGAUCACCUGUCCCUCCUUCAAAGUGAGAGAGAUGAAAUCAGGAAAGAGUUAGCAGAAUUAAGAAGAAGGUACGAAAUUAUUACAAUAGAAAACACAAAAAUGAAUGAAGGGAUCGCAGAACUCAGAAGAGAGUACAAAAAUAUUACAAAAGAAAACACAGAACUCAGGAAAAUUGUGGAAAAUCAUCAGUGCCUAGGGGAAGAAGCAGAGAGUAUAAUAAAUAGAAAUGCUCCUGAACCUGAGGAGGCUGAGACCCAUGGUUCGUGGCGUCAUGGUGCCAAACGCCUACUUAAAGUAGGUUUGGGUCUUGCCACAGCGGCCAUUGUUGUUCCUGCAGCUUGCUGGGCCAUCUCAAAGCUUUUCGGCUGAAGUGAAUGUCCCGCUCUGUGGGGUCAUGAUUAUUAUCAUGAUCCCAUCGACAAUUGUGGAUUGUGGUCCACAUCCACAAUUACAACUCUACUGUAAUUGUGGAUGUGGACCAGUUACCCUUUAAAAACAGUAAUGAUGUUUUCCAGCCACAGUCCACCUUCAUCCUGGCGUUGUUCCCGCUGGUGCAGGGUCUGCUUUUCGGCAAAGGUUUCUCCAUUUGGUUCUGUCCGAAGCGUCCUCAGGUGACGCGUUGAUGGUCUUAAAGUCUUCCUUGAUUUUGUCCAUCCACCGUUUUUUCGGUCUGCCUCAAGGCCGGCGUCCAUCUGGGUUGAUCCUCAUAGCCGUUUUUGCUACAGAGUUCUCAUCGCUUCGAAUUACGUGUCCAUACCGCCUAAGGUGGGAUUCGAGCAUCUUUUGGACUCGGACCACAGUCCACCAACCUGUCAUAAAUAUGCUGUGCUCUCCUUUAUGUUCAAUUUUAUUUUGCCCCUCACCCCCCAACCAGUCAUGGCAGAAGACUGCCCCUCCCUGAGCCUGGUUCUGCCAGAGGUUUCUUCCUGUUAAAAGGGAGUUUUUCCUCUCCACCGUUGCCAGAGUGCUUGCUCAUAGGGGAUCAUUUCAUUAUUGGGGUUGAAUUUUUGGAUUUCAUUUCAUUGGCUUGAACUGAAAAACCUAAAAAUUCAGGUGAGGGGUUCACAUAGUGGAGAGCACUACAUUUGUUAACUGCACUUUUUUUAUUUGUAGGUUUUGUAGUUCUUCCUACUACAAAUAAAAAAAGUGCUGCUAAACCUUGCAGUUAGCAGCAAAUCAAAAUAAAGAAAACAAAUUUUUAAAAAAAAAUCCACUACUGCUCUGUGUGUUUACUUCAAUGAACACAUGUAUGUUUUUGUGGUAGGAGAUUAU